rnacentral:rRNA from 1 species
AUUGAACGCUGGCGGCAGGCUUAACACAUGCAAGUCGAGCGAGCGGCGGACGGGUGAGUAAUGUCUGGGAAACUGCCUGAUGGAGGGGGAUAACUACUGGAAACGGUAGCUAAUCACGCAUACCAUCAGAUGCGCCCAGAUGGGAUUAGCUAGGAGGUGGGGUAAUGGCUCACCUAGGCGCAGAUCCCUAGCUGGUAUGAGAGGAUGACCAGCCAACCUGGAAAUGAGACACGGUCCAGACUCCUACGUGAGGCAGCAGUGGGGAAUAUUGCACAAUGGGCGCAAGCCUGAUGCAGCCAUGCCGCGUGUGUGAAGAAGGCCUUCGGGUUGUAAAGCACUUUCAGCGAGGAGGCGUUACUCGCAGAAGAAGCACCGGCUAACUCCGUGCCAGCAGCCGCGGUAAUAC